CAGUCGCGCGGUAAUACGAAGGGUGCAAGCGUUACUCGGAAUUACUGGGCGUAAAGCGUGCGUAGGUGGUUGUUUAAGUCUGCUGUGAAAGCCCUGGGCUCAACCUGGGAAUUGCAGUGGAUACUGGGCGACUAGAGUAAGGUAGAGGAUAGUGGAAUUUCCGGUGUAGCAGUGAAAUGCGUAGAGAUCGGAAGGAACAUCUGUGGCGAAGGCGACUAUCUGGGCCAUUACUGACACUGAGGCACGAAAGCGUGGGGAGCAAACAGGAUUAGAUACCCGAGUAGUCCCUGUCUCUUAUACA
rnacentral:rRNA from 1 species